rnacentral:lncRNA from 1 species
CAGAAAUCCAACCAGCUCGGCCCAACUGCACCAAACUUACUUAUCGGUAGCCGCGCGGUGCGUGCGCUUUAUUCCUAGACUUUUGGGGUAAUUAUUAUGAUUUUUUUCCCCUAUUUUUUUUUUUAACGGGAAGGCCCCCGCGGGCUCCCCGCCCGCCGCCCCGCCGGCAGGGGCCCGGAGGAGCGAAGGAGUUAAAGGGAGGCGCUUGGGAAAUCCGAUGCUGAGGAGCCCCAGGAAUGCUGCUGCCCCUUCCCACUCCCCUCCGGCUCUCGGAGCGGCUCAGUCCCCGCCGCCGAGCCCCGAGGCCGCGCACGCUCUCUCCGGGCUCUGCCCCGCAGGCGCUGCCGGAGAUGCCGGGCAGAAGGCGGUGGUGGGCACGCUGCUGGCUGGGCGUCUGCCUUUCGCUGCUGGGCGCCGGGGGCUGCAGCGGAGGCGGCGGCGGCGGCGGUGGCUCCGAGCCCUGCCGCCUGCCCCCGUGCCCUGCCGAGGCUCCCCCGCCGCCCUGCCGCGGGGCUCGCUGCGGAGCCCGUGCCGGCCGGCCCGCCCGCUCCUUCCCGCACACCGCCACGCCGCUGCGGGCCCCGCAGGGCAAGCCGCAACCCCCCGCAGCCAGAGGGGGUCCUCCGGAGGCUUGUCCGGCCGGGGGCUGCUCCUCCAACGGCACCCGCCGCGAUUGCCAGGGCUUGGAGUGCCGCCUGCCCCCCCGCCUGCGGCCGAGACCCCGCGGCACCGGCGGCUGCGGCGCCUCCGCCCCCGGCGAGGGCUGCCCCGAGCCCGCCCUGCUCCGAGCCGCCGAGCGGGCAGCGCAGUUCGCCGGGGAUGAUUUCGCCUACGGGGGGCCCGAGCUGGGCGGAGGAGGCGCCCUGGGGGUGCAGCUGGCCUGCGACGUGAAGCCAGGCAGAAAAGACUCACACUUCUUGGAUUGUGCUGAAAGCAGACACACUGUACCUUCCUGA